GAUCCUAAAAGAGGGAGAGAAUCAAACCUGCAAACCACAGAUUCACUUCAUAGAUGUCCUAGAACUAUGAUGUCUCUGUGGGCCAUUCGCUAGGGCUGUGUUCUUCAACCUUUUCAGGGCUCUUGUGAAUAUGAAUCCAUUAAUGUGUGAGGAGAUCCGGCAACUACACUGAGGAGAACCAUAUACAUAUCCAAGCAUACUGCAUCGCUGCACAGUCCCAUCUGCAUGUCUCUGAG